rnacentral:tRNA from 1 species
GUGGUAAUGGCUCAGUAGGUAAGAGCACUUGCUUUGUAAACAUGAAGACUUUAGUUUGGAACCCUAACCCCCACA